ACUUGCUUUUGAUUCCAAAUGACCUUCAAAUAAAUGACCUACAGCUAUCCAAACUUCCUAUAUUCUUCGCAACUCUACAUGCUUCUCAUCAGAUUCAACCCUUAACUAUUACUUAGCAUGAUCACCUGAAACAGAUUCACUGCCAACAACAAUUAGCUCAAUUAAUUGAAUCAUUCUAGUCAAAACAAUUCAAUCAAUGAUCAAAUAUCGACAAAGAGAUGAAACAAACAAAUCUGGUAUCAAUCAUCAGGAAUAUAUGAAUGUAGGCAAGUUCAUA
rnacentral:lncRNA from 1 species